GACAGAGGUUGCAAGCGUUGUUCGGAAUCACUGGGCGUAAAGGGCGCGUAGGUGGUUGAAUGUGUCUGAUGUGAAAGCCCCCGGCUUAACUGGGGAAGUGCAUCGGAAACUAUUUAACUGGAGUGCAGAAGAGGAUGGCGGAAUUCCCGGAGUAGAGGUGAAAUUCGUAGAUACCGGGAGGAACACCUGAGGCGAAGGCGGCCAUCUGGUCUGUAACUGACACUGAAGCGCGAAAGCACGGGGAGCAAACAGG
rnacentral:rRNA from 1 species